AGCCCGAUGCCAGGAGGCCCGAGAUCAGCGCGUAUUUGAUCGACGCCGAAUAGCUGCGGAAAUCAUGCGCCGUGACGAUUUCCUGCUUCUGUCCCAUCUCCGCAAUCAGCGUCCCGAGGCCCAUGCCCAGCGCCUGAAUGCCCAUCAGGUUGAUUUCCUUGCCGAACAGCCAGCGCGCGUCGUAUUCGCGAAAACCCGUCGCCUUCACCAUCGGCU
rnacentral:misc_RNA from 1 species